CCGGCGCGGUUGCUUUGGUUUCAUGACGUCACAGAGAUGAAUUUCUUCCUUCGCCCCGCCCCCAAAUCACCUAGUCCCAGUCUUUUCAUGUGAAAAAGCGCUGAAUAUUAAAAAUAUAUAAAUAAAAAUAGAGGCCUAGGUCUAGGCUGGUAUCUUUGGUAAUAUAUUAAAUAUUCAUAUGAUUGCUCAAUACGGACAUUUUGUGCCAAUAUAGUUGCUUGACUACAUUGCCGCCACAUUGAGUUUUUCUCUAUCGGUAGACAGAGAAAAAAGGUAGGUAUAAAGCCUUUCAAAAAAAAAUUCCUGCACAGCUUCUACUCUGAAAAAAAUUCCGACAAAGCUUCGAACUCAAAAAAAAAUUCUUCUAGGGAAAAUUAUUCUCCCCCCUCCCAGGAUAUCUAAUGGUCCACCCCUAACGAACAGUUCAUGUUGAAACAAUGUUUGGAAAAUAUAGCCGAGGGGUUGUUGCAUGCAUGUAUUUCUAGUUAACUAUAUACACAACUUGUGGCUAUAGAACUCGACAACCCAGUAGCUCAGUUGGUUAGAGCGGAAUCGCAG